rnacentral:rRNA from 1 species
UUGGGAUCCACCCCCAUCUCCCCACGAAGGGCUAACCUCCCCGUACCCACCUCACCUUAUCUGCAUCCCCUCCAUCCAAAUCACACAAACGAAAAUCCAUUUUUCCCCACCCGGCCACCUCUCUCCCCCUGAUUCCUCUGUCUCUCUCGCACCACAGCGUUGUCGCCGCCAACUCCGAUCCCAGGAAGCUCCAGCGGACUCCAACCCACUGCUCACGGUUCUGCCCCACUCCAUCUAUGUUCUCCUCUGUUCCUUCGCCUGAGGCCACCGCGCCCCUGCACGCGUGGCACGCAACAACCCUAGCCGCCACGCGUCGCCGGCGUGGCUCCGGCAGCUCCGGUUUAUCGACCCACUACCCCUGCGGCCCUGCCUCACCUCACGCGCGGCAGCACGCUCGAGCUUGACGUUGGUAUUCCGCCUCUUCUACCUCAACUCCGGUGUUGACGUUUCUGGUUCUGGUGUUUACACGCUCGAGCUUGACGUUGAUCGAUGUACAACACUUAUGCAUUACAAUCAGGAGAAAUCCAUGCAGAAGAAGCCUGAAGAAUUAUUCAAGUUAUUUGUUUAUAGCAUGAUAUUUCCAAAUACUAGAAUGAUGCAUGAUUGGUCAGCACACAAACUCUUGGCCAGGGCACACUACGGUGGUUGGAUGAUACAACCAUAAACAGACAGCUAAGCGAUCAGAUGCGGCGACUGUGCGAGUGUGUCAGGUAUGUCGAAUUCACUGAUCCCAAACUAUUGGAUCUGACUAGGAUCUCCUCUUCUCUGUAAUACUUAGGACCUUCUCCUCUACCUACUCGGGCCAACAGUUUCAGCAUCCAGCAACCAUGGUGACAAAGAUGAACGUACUGGAACUGCUCUAAGUUUCAACAUUCUCGGUUACAGAGGCUCGAUUGUUCCAAGUCGAUGUUGUUGGCGCUAAAACAUAAAAGACUACUAGUGCCAAGCUGGAUUUACUAGGAGAUUGCAAUAUUCGAUGACGCAUGGCUCAGAUGUUGGUUGCAAGGUCAAGAAUAGGGGUGCUACUAGAUAGUUUCACAUUAUGCCUUAGAAUGCCAUUUCCAGUGCCAAUGUUUCAAUCAUUAUGUUUCGGAUAUUUUUGGUGUCAAUAUUUCGAUCAUUAUGUUUCAGAAUGGCUGACACGUUGGCUGCAAGGUCAAGAAUGAGAUUACUACUAGUUUCACAUCUUGUAAUUUUUGUAUGGUGUACUUUGUAAUGCAACCAAGUUGAUUUAAUAUAUGAGAAAUUUCCGUUUAUUAUAC